UACGUAGGGUGCAAGCGUUUAAUCGGAAUUACUGGGCGUAAAGCGUGCGCAGGCGGUUAUGUAAGACAGAUGUGAAAUGCCCGGGCUUAACCUGGGAACUGCAUUUGUGACUGCAUGGCUAGAGUUUGGCAGAGGGGGGUAGAAUUCCACGUGUAGCAGUGAAAUGCGUAGAUAUGUGGAGGAACACCGAUGGCGAAGGCAGCCCCCUGGGUCAAGACUGACGCUCAUGCACGAAAGCGUGGGAGCAAA
rnacentral:rRNA from 1 species